CAUUCAGCUGGUUCUAUCCGGUUCAAGUGAACCGGUAGCGGCGGCUGUGGGAGGCUCGUCCCAUUUUUGACCCUCUGAGCAUGCGUGGAGGUGGUGCAUGCACUCACAUUUGUGAACUGGUAGUGAAGGAAAGCCAUCAUUGAAGCAUCAGUGGGAAUAUACAUAAAACGUACAAAACUUUGACUACUCACUACUCUGAGGACACAGAUAAACCUCCUAUGAUGCUCUAAAAGAAUGCAAAUGACCAGCUGUCUGCAAGGAGCAUCAAUCUUUCCAUUCCCCACCAUCCAAUGAGAGCUGAAGAAGCUUCUUGGACAAGAAGUGAAACAUCUUCAAAGAAAAACAAGAAAGUCCAGUUGCCUCUUGAAAAAGCACCUUUGGGACAACCAAGACCUGGAUGAUUGAGAAGCUCCAUAGACACCAAGAGAGAAUGUUCAUCCUAAAAAGAUAGGCAGAUUGUAAAAGUGGAAGUUAUUUUUCAUUAUGUCUCCUCAUGCCCCAACUUUGAAGACUUGAGUAACGCUUCUGCUUGAAUACUAGCUCACUAACAUUGCGCACAGGGUGAACACAGAAAGCUCCACUACUAAGGAACUCAAGUGACAUGGCUAUCAAAAUCUAUAAACUAUUGCAGUAAAACAGUAA